rnacentral:rRNA from 1 species
GACGAACGCUGGCGGCGUGCUUAACACAUGCAAGUCGAACGAUGAUGCCCUGCUUGCAGGGUGGAUUAGUGGCGAACGGGUGAGUAACACGUGGGUGAUCUGCCUCGUACUUCGGGAUAAGCCUGGGAAACUGGGUCUAAUACCGGAUAGGACCUUCCUUUAGUGUGGAAGGUGGAAAGUUUUUUCAGUACGAGAGGAGCCCGCGGCCUAUCAGCUUGUUGGUGGGGUAAUGGCCUACCAAGGCGACGACGGGUAGCCGGCCUGAGAGGGUGUACGGCCAAAUUGGGACUGAGACACGGCCCAAACUCGUACGGGAGGCAGCAGUGGGGAAUCUUGCACAAUGGGCGGAAGCCUGAUGCAGCGACGCCGCGUGGGGGAUGACGGCCUUCGGGUUGUAAACCCCUUUCGCUAGGGAAGAAGCCACUUUGCGGUGACGGUACCUGGAUAAGAAGCACCGGCUAACUACGUGCCAGCCGCCGCCGUAA